rnacentral:rRNA from 1 species
GACGAACGCUGGCGGCGUGCCUAAUACAUGCAAGUCGAGCGGACUGAUUAAGAGCUUGCUCUUAUGACGUUAGCGGCGGACGGGUGAGUAACACGUGGGCAACCUGCCCUGUAGAUCGGGAUAACACCGAGAAAUCGGUGCUAAUACCGGGUAAUAUCUGAGAUCACAUGAUCUUAGGUUAAAAGAUGGCUCCGGCUAUCACUACAGGAUGGGCCCGCGGCGCACUAGCUAGUUGGUAAGGUAAUGGCUUACCAAGGCGACGAUGCGUAGCCGACCUGAGAGGGUGAUCGGCCACACUGGGACUGAGACACGGCCCAGACUCCUACGGGAGGCAGCAGUAGGGAAUCUUCCGCAAUGGACGAAAGUCUGACGGAGCAACGCCGCGUGAGUGAUGAAGGGUUUCGGCUCGUAAAGCUCUGUUGCUAGGGAAGAAACAGUACCGAACGAACUAGGUCGGUACCUUGACGGUACCUAACCAGAAAGCCACGGCUAACUACGUG